AGAUCGAUGAUGACCCCAAAAAUUGCAUUCCUUGGAAAGCUGAACAAAAUGAGUGAGAACUACACCCGUCGUCAUUCUCAUCGGAAACUGAGGUCC
rnacentral:snoRNA from 1 species